rnacentral:misc_RNA from 1 species
AUCAUUCUUGGGUCGCGAAACAAUCUCAGGUGCUUUGACACUAUGCUCCAAACAAACUCUUUUAGCAGACAACCUCUUCAAAGGUUUGCCUAAAUACGCAUUAUCUUCUAGAUUCAGAUUUGGCGAACCAGCUAUCAGUUUCUGGACCUUGAGUAGUCGAUGCAACUCAAAUACUUGAAGUGCAAGCGUUCUCUGCUGGUUGGCAAUAGCUCGUCUUGCUUUCCAGAAAUGUUUUUGUCCAAUCAUUCUAACAACAUUAUCAGGAGAUAUGUCCAUUUCAG